GAGUUUGAUCGUGGCUCAGAUUGAACGCUGGCGGCAGGCCUAACACAUGCAAGUCGAGCGGAUGACGGGAGCUUGCUCCUUGAUUCAGCGGCGGACGGGUGAGUAAUGCCUAGGAAUCUGCCUGGUAGUGGGGGGACAACGUUUCGAAAGGAACGCUAAUACCGCAUACGUCCUACGGGAGAAAGCAGGGGACCUUCGGGCCUUGCGCUAUCAGAUGAGCCUAGGUCGGAUUAGCUAGUUGGUGGGGUAAUGGCUCACCAAGGCGACGAUCCGUAACUGGUCUGAGAGGAUGAUCAGUCACACUGGAACUGAGACACGGUCCAGACUCCUACGGGAGGCAGCAGUGGGGAAUAUUGGACAAUGGGCGAAAGCCUGAUCCAGCCAUGCCGCGUGUGUGAAGAAGGUCUUCGGAUUGUAAAGCAC
rnacentral:rRNA from 1 species